rnacentral:lncRNA from 1 species
CUGCAAACAAAAUCCUAACUCUCAUAGAGUCCUCUCAAAAUGAAUAUAAAAUUCUCUCCAUAACUACCACGAAAACUCUCACAAAAACUCAUUUGCGACUACAUCUUGUAGCCCCCAAAAGAAAAGCCCUAUAAUACUACAUUUUUAAUUGCAUCUCAAUUGACUUCUCAAAACAGGAUACAAUGUUCAUUUAAAUAGGUUAAGAUUAGAAGUCUAAUCAUACUAAAAUAUUCCUAGAGUAAUCAAAGUUUAACUAGGAAAAGAUAGUAGAGUUGACUAAGAGAAGAAACCCGAUUUAUAUGGAGAACACGUUGCCACGUCACAACAUUGGAAAGCUUCUUGUCAUGACGUCGCCUUCUGUUUGGCUGAAAAUGCGAAGCACAUCCCACAGUUAUAUAAAUGGAUAAAACACCAUAUAGUCAUUAUUAAGUUUUUUCUAACUUGGUCCCGAAUUUUUUCUUAGUGCAAACCAAUACUCAAACUUGAAUUCCAUUAAACGAUUUAGUCCAUUUUUGUAACACCAUUAAAAAAUAUUGACAUUACAUUUUAAAUUUGUAUCACACCGUGACCUAAAAAUUUUAGAAAUAAAUAUUAUACUUAAUUAAUAUAACAUUACAACAUUAUAAACUUCUAAAUGUUUGCUUUAUCCCUUAUAUAAAUUAUUAUUAUACUUAUUAUUAAAUUUUUAAAAAUCAUUAUAAAUAUUGUAAUGUUAUUGCAAUAUUAUUAAAUUUUUAAAAAUCAUUAUAAAUAUUGCAAUGUUAUAUGCAAUAUUCAUUUUCUCAUUUAUAUUUAUUAUACAUUUUUAGUUCAAAAAUGUUUUUGGUGUAAUUUCUUAAUGGCUUUUAUUUUGGUGGUUGCACUACAUUUAGGGAGAGAUUUGAUGAGAUAGGCAAAAAGAUGAAGAUGUUUCAUUUAAUCAUUAGCAGAUAAGAAGACACAUAUUAGGACCUCCUCGACUGUUUUACAUGUGUCUCUUGAUGUUUGGUGUUGACUUUUUUUAGGGCCUAGGUAAAAUAAUAAAAUGAGGUUUUAAGUUCCUUAAAAGUUAGAGAAAAAAAUUUUUAGGUCCCUUAAAAGGUGGUAAAAAAGAUUUGGGCCCAUAAAAGCUAAAAAAAAAACAAAAAAUUAGACACCUUCAAAGUUAGUUUUUUUUUAAAAAAUUAAAAAAAAUUAAACCCCUUAAAAAUUGAAAAAAACAAUAUUUUGGACACUUUCAACCUUGGGCCCUAGGCGGCCGCACCUCUAGACGACCCCAAGGAUGGGCCUGGAUUGUUAGUUAUGUCUCAAAGAUGCUAAUGGUAAUUAAAAACUUAAUCCCCACCUAUAAUUUCAAUUUUAUGAUAUUUUUAGAAGUUUUUUUUUAUUGUUUUGGAUUUAUAUUUUUUAAAUUAAAAGUACCAAAUUGAUGGUUCGUUUGUGGAGACUUUAAUGUGAUAAUGUAUGGUUUUCAAAAAAAGGGAGGGUUACCCCGUGAUGAACGAAAAAUGGAGAAUUUACGUAAUGUUUUAGCGGAUUGUCAGCUAUUGGAUGUGGGGUUUUCUAGAAAUUGGUUUACAUGGAAGAAAGGAAACCUUCCCAAGACAAACAUUCGUGAACGACUCUUCCAUUGUCCUCUUUUAAUUACUACUAAACGGGCUGAAAAUUGGGUGACUGCUAAAGCUUUCAAGUUUGAAACUUUGUGGAUAGUGGAAGAGUCGUUUAAUGAAUAAGUCAAAAAUAUAUGGAAGUCAUCAUCUAGAAACUUGUUGCAAAAGUUAGAUAUUUUAAAAGGGGGAUUGAGACGAUGGGCAGGACAAAUUCGAUUUGAUAGAAGAAGGAGAAAGGAUCUACUCAUAGCUAGACUAUCAGAACUUGCAGGGGCUGACAGAGGUGAUAUCAACAUGGUAGAACUGCUUGAUGCGAAAAUUCAAUUAAACUUUGAGAUUGAAAAGGACGAACAUUACUGGAACAGAGAGCUCGGAUAAAUUGGCUAAAAUUUAGGGAUAGGAAUACUGCAUUUUUUCAAAGCCAAGUGACGCAGCAUAGAAGGAGAAAUGUCGUCCACAAAUUGAAUAAUGAAGAAAGGGUAGAUACGGACAUUGUGAAGGAAAUUGAGGGAAUUGCGCGAUCUUAUUUCCAGAAUUUAUUUACAAUAGAGGGGUGAGGAAAUUUUGACCAUUUGUUGUCGGGUAUUGAAAAAUGCUAUCUAAGGAGGAUAAUCAAAAUCUUAUAAAGCCUUAUAUGGCAGAGGAGAUUAGAGAGGGGCUGUUAGUGAUGGGACCCACUAGAGCACCAGGUGCAAAUGGCUUUCCAGCUCUGUUUUACCAAAAAUGCUAACACAUCAUUGGGGACGACGUCACCAAAUUCUACUUACAAAUUCAUAACGAAGGUAUGGGCUUUCAACAAAUUAAUGCUACUCAUAUAAUCCUCAUCCCUAAAAUUGAUAAUCCGUCUACUAUGAUGAAUUUCAGACCUAUCAGUCUGUGCAAUGUGCUUUAUAAAAUUAUAGCAAAAGUUACUGAAAAUCGUUUCAGGGGAGUUAUUAAAAACUGUAUUGACGUCUCAGAGUGUGUUUGUACCAGGCAGAUUGAUUUCAGAUAAUGUUCUAUUGGCAUAUGAAAUUCUUCAUACUCUUCAACAAAAGAAAGUUGGGAAAAAAGGUUUUAUGGCAGUCAAGUUUGUUGAAAAGACAAAUUAAAAGGGGUGUUGAAAAGUCAAAAAAAUGGGAGGUGCAAGUGGCACCGAAAGAAAAAAAUGGUAGGCAAGUUGUUUAAAGUUGAAUGGGAUAAUUGCAAUUUUGGUCCCUAAUUUUUAGGCCAUUUGCAAGUUAGUCCCUGAACCUCAACUAUAAAUAGGCCUAACCAUUUCUCAUUUACACCAUCCCAACCAAUCUUUCUCUCUUAGUUUUCUCUCUUCUCCCAUUUGAGAAUUCUUAAGGAAUUCUAUUUGUUUGUAAUAUUUUGGAGAUAGUAAAGUUAUCAUCUGGUGUUAGUGCCCGAGGACGUAGGUAUAAUUUACCGAACCUCGUUAAAACUCUUAUGUUCUUUUUGUCCUAUUUUUCUUUCAAUAUUUGAGGGUAUAAUAGUAGUAUUUAAUUGUGCUAUUAAAUUACGUUAGAAGGAAUAUUCUGACUAAGGAAAGACUUGGUAUUUAAGAGAUCCUUGUGAUCCACCUCUCUUCCCUGGGAAUUGAACUUUGUGUGAUUUUUUAGUACAAUAAUUUACACACUUCCGACCCUAUUGGAACAACAAGUGGUAUCAAGAGCCGAAGGUUAAUCGUAGUAUGCUCUGUGGUUGCAGUUUAAACUGAUCUUCCACAUCAAAAAAGAUUUCCUUAGGUAUAUUGAAAGAUUAUGGAGAAAACAGUCGGUGUAGGAGCUUCAACAUCGUCCAUGUAGACAAGACCGACAAUUGCAAAUGCAAGAUUGGCCGUGGAGAUCUUUGAUGGCACGGGCCAUUUUGGUAUGUGGCAAAGUGAGGUUCUAGAUGCCCUUUUUCAGCAGGGUCUAGACAUUGCCAUUGAUGAAGAAAAACCAGAUGAUGUACAGGAGAAAGAUUGGAAGGCGAUCAAUCGGUUGGCAUGUGGCACAAUUCGAUCAUACCUUUCUCGAGAGCAGAGGUAUGCUUUUUCAAAGGAGACUUCUGCAAAUAAGUUGUGGGUGGCACUUGAAGAAAAAUUUUUGAAGAAAAAUAGUCAAAAUAAGCUCCACUUGAAGAAAAGACUGUUUCGCUUCACAUACGUUUCAAGUACCACAAUGAAUGAUCACAUCACCAAAUUUAAUCAGUUAGUCACUGAUUUGUUGAAUAUGGAUGAGACAUUCAAAGAUGAAGAUUUGGCUUUGAUGCUGUUGGGGUCACUUCCUGAGGAGUUUGAGUUCCUAGAAACUACUCUACUUCAUGGCAGGAGUGAUAUAUCUCUGAGCAAAGUCUAUGCGGCCUUAUACAGUUAUGAACAGAGAAAGAAGGACAAACAGAAAAACUCAAUCAGAGAUACAGAAGCUUUAGUAGUCCGAGGUCGUUCAUACACUCGGAAGAAAACUCAAAAGGGGAGAUCAAAGUCAAAGUCCAGACUCGGGAAAGAUGAAUGUGCUUUUUGUCAUGAGAAAGGCCACUGGAAGAAAAAUUGUCCAAAGCUGAAGAAUAAGGGAAAAGCUGCUGUAGAUGCUUGUGUUGCUAAGCAUGAUACUAGUGACUCUGAACUAUCACUGGUUGCAUCAUCAUCGUCGUUCCAUUCAGAUGAGUGGAUAUUGGAUUCGGGUUGUACCUAUCAUAUGUCCCCUAACCGGGAGUGGUUCUCUGAUUUAGUAGAACUAAAUGGAGGAGUUGUUUAUAUGGGCAAUGACAAUGCCUGUAAAACUGUUGGGAUAGGUUCAAUCUAAUUAAAGAAUCAAGAUGGAUCAACCAGAGUUCUGACUGAUGUUCGGUACGUGCCCAGUUUGAAGAAAAAUCUCAUCUCAUUGGGAGCCUUGGAAUCCAAUGGUUCAGUUGUUACUAUGAAAGAUGGGAUUUUGAAAGUGACAUCUGGUGCACUUGUGAUAUUGAAGGGCAUCAGGAAAAAUAACUUGUAUUACUACCAAGGUAGUAUAGUUAUUGGAGCAGUCGCUACAGCUUCCGGUAACAAAGAAUUGGACUCAAUGCAGUUGUGGCAUAUGAAGUUGGGACAUGCCAGCGAAAAAUCCUUGCAAAUUCUGGCAAAGCAAGGAUUAUUGAAAGGUGCAAAGGCUUACAAAUUAAAAUUUUGCGAGCAUUGUGUUCUGGGAAAGAAAAAGAGAGUGAAAUUCGGUACUGCUAUCCAUAAUACAAAAGGUAUUUUGGAAUAUGUUCACUCAGAUGUGUGGGGGCCUUCCAAGACACCUUCAUUGGGAGGAAAACACUACUUUGUUACUUUUGUUGAUGACUUUUCCAGAAGAGUUUGGGUGUAUACCAUGAGAACUAAGGAUGAAGUGCUUAGAGUUUUUCUUAAAUGGAAAACUAUGAUCGAAAACCAGACUGGCAAGAAAAUCAAGCGGCUUAGGACGGACAAUGGAGGGGAAUAUAAAAGUGAUCAGUUCUUCGAUGUGUGCCAAGAGUAUGGUAUUGUUCGACACUUCACAGUUAGGGAUACACCACAGCAGAAUGGAUUGGCAGAGCGUAUGAAUCGAACAUUACUGGAGAAAGUUCGAUGUAUGUUGUCCAAUGCUGGGUUGGGCAAGCAAUUUUGGGCUGAGGCUGUGACAUACGCUGGCCAUCUUGUUAAUCGUUUGCCAUCAUCUGCAUUAGAAAGAAAAACUCCUAUGGAGGUAUGGUCUGGAAAACCGGCUACAGAUUAUGAUUCCUUACAUGUGUUUGGAUCCACUGCAUAUUACCAUGUGAAGGAGUCAAAGUUAGAUCCGAGGGCAAAGAAAGCUCUCUUUAUGGGAAUCACUUCUGGAGUGAAGGGAUUUCGUCUUUGGUGCUUAAGCAUAAAGAAAAUGAUCUGUAGCAGAGAUGUUACCUUUGAUGAAUCUGCCACAUUGAAAAAGGUAGCAGAUAAAGAUAUUCAGACGAGCAAUACUCCACAACAGGUGGAGUGUACUCCAAAACAUGUGGAGUUUGAGCAGAUGGGGAUUUGCCCAGUUAAUAAGUCUAAUUCUCCAGCCACAAUGGAGGAAUUAGAGGUUGAAGAGGUUCUGACCCAAGAACCACUAAGUACACCAGAACCAGUUGCAGUUGCAAGGCCACGGAGAGAAAUUCGUAAACCUGCUCGAUUUACUGAUAUGGUGGCCUACGCCCUUCCCGUUGUUGAUGAUAUUCCUAUCACUUAUCAAGAAGCGAUGCAAAGCUUAGAAAGUGAUAAAUGGAAAAGCGCCAUGGAUGAAGAAAUGCAGUCUCUCCUGAAGAACAAUACUUGGGAAUUGGCGCAAUUACCGAAAGGUAAAAGGGCAAUCGGAUGCAAGUGGGUAUUCGCAAAGAAAGAUGGAUCUCCUAGCAAGAAGGAUAUUCGCUAUAAGGCAAGAUUGGUAGCUAAAGGCUACGCUCAGAAGGAGGGAAUUGACUACAAUGAUGUAUUUUCCCCUGUUGUGAAGCAUUCCUCCAUUAGAAUUUUGUUGGCCUUGGUAGCACAGUUGAAUUUGGAGCUAGCUCAACUUGAUGUUAAGACGGCUUUCUUGCAUGGUGAGUUAGAAGAGGAGAUCUAUAUGACUCAGCCCGAAGGAUACACAGAUGCUGGUGGUAGAAAUUGGGUUUGUAAGCUGAACAAAUCGCUAUAUGGAUUGAAGCAAUCCCCGAUGCAGUGGUACAAGCGAUUUGAUAGCUUUAUGAGAAGGCAGAAGUACACAAGAAGCAAAUAUGACAAUUGUGUAUAUUUGCAGAAGCUGCAUGACGGAUCUUUCAUUUAUCUACUCUUGUAUGUUGAUGAUAUGUUAAUCGCUUCGAAGAGCCAAAAUGAGAUAGAUAAGCUGAAGGCUCAGUUGAAUCAAGAGUUCGAGAUGAAAGAUCUAGGUGAGGCCAAGAAGAUUCUCGGCCUGGAGAUAAGUAGAGAUAGACCGAGAGGCAAGCUCUGUUUAAAUCAGAAGCAAUAUCUGAAAAAGGUAUUACAAUGUUUUGGUGUAAAUGAAAACACAAAACAUGUAAGUACCCCACUUGCUUCUCAUUUGAAACUUAGUGCUCAAUUAUCUCCGAAGACUGAAGAUGAAAGAGAAUAUAUGGCGAAAGUCCCAUAUGCUAAUGCAGUUGGGAGUUUGAUGUAUGCGAUGGUGUGUACGAGGCCUGACAUUUCACAAUCUGUUGGAGUUGUGAGCAGGUAUAUGCAUGAUCCUGGAAAAGGACAUUGGCAAGCUGUGAAAUAGAUUCUACGGUAUCUUCAAAAAACCGUAGAUGUUGGUUUAAUUUUUGAACAGGAUGAAGCACUUGGUCAGUUUGUAGUUGGAUAUGUUGAUUCCAACUUUGCUGGUGAUUUAGAUAAACGUCGUUCAACUACGGGGUAUCUGUUUACUCUUGCGAAAGCCCCAGUGAGUUGGAAGUCUACCUUACAGUCUACAGUAGCUGUGUCUACUACAGACGCAGAAUAUAUGGUAGUUACAGAAGCUGUUAAGGAGGCUAUUUGGCUUAAUGGAUUGUUGAAAGACUUAGGAGUUGUUCAAAGUCACAUAAGUUUAUAUUGUGACAGUCAGAGCGAUAUUCAUUUAGCGAAAAAUCAAGUCUAUCAUUCAAGAACCAAGCAUAUCGACGUAAGAUAUCACUUUGUGCGGGAAGUCUUUGAAAAAGGAAAAAUUCUACUUCAGAAGAUUCCGACAGCAGAUAAUCCCGCAGAUAUGAUGACCAAGGUGGUAACAACAAUCAAGUUUAAUCAUUGUUUGAACUUGAUUAACAUCCUGAGAAUUUGAGCACCUUUAGGUGUAUGGCGCUCGAGAGCGCAUUUGGAGGCACUACAAAAGAUAGCUUUAUCGAAUUUGGGGAGUUGAAGGAAGUAUGUGAAGAUGUGAUUAUCCUAAUCAAAUCUUCAAGGUGGAGAUUGUUGAAAAGACAAAUUAAAAGGGGUGUUGAAAAGUCAAAAAAAUGGGAGGUGCAAGUGGCACCGAAAGAAAAAAAUGGUAGGCAAGUUGUUUAAAGUUGAAUGGGAUAAUUGCAAUUUUGGUCUCUAAUUUUUAGGCCAUUUGCAAGUUAGUCUCUGAACCUCAACUAUAAAUAGGCCUAACCAUUUCUCAUUUACACCAUCCCAACCAAUCUUUCUCUCUUAGUUUUCUCUCUUCUCCCAUUUGAGAAUUCUUAAGGAAUUCUAUUUGUUUGUAAUAUUUUGGAGAUAGUAAAGUUAUCAUCUGGUGUUAGUGCCCGAGGACGUAGGUAUAAUUUACCGAACCUCGUUAAAACUCUUAUGUUCUUUUUGUCCUAUUUUUCUUUCAAUAUUUGAGGGUAUAAUAGUAGUAUUUAAUUGUGCUAUUAAAUUACGUUAGAAGGAAUAUUCUGACUAAGGAAAGACUUGGUAUUUAAGAGAUCCUUGUGAUCCACCUCUCUUCCCUGGGAAUUGAACUUUGUGUGAUUUUUUAAUACAAUAAUUUACACGCUUCCGACCCUAUUGGAACAACAAAGUUAGACAUGAGUAAAGUAUAUGACAGGGUUGAGUGGAAUUUUAUCAAAGAAAUUAUGAUACGAAUGGGGUUCGAUAUGAACUAGAUUGAAACUUUAAUGAAAUGUUUGACAAUUAUCUUCUAUUCAGUAGUUGUAAAUGGAUACAUAGGAGAAAGCUUCCACCCAGCAAGGGGACAUCGUCAAGGAGACCCGUUUAGCCUGUUUCUAUUUCUCAUUUGCGAAGAGGGUUUAUCGUGUUUAAUGCGAUUAGCAAGUAGAGAAGGUCUAUUGAAAGGAGCCAAAGCUAGUAGGAGCGGACCACAGGUAUCACACUUGUUUUUUACCGAUGAUUGCAUUUUAUUUGGCCAGGCUACAAAAAGAGAAGCUAAUUUAUUGAAGGAAAUUUUAAGGGAAUAUAGGAGUUGCUCAGACCAAUGUGUUAACUUUAAUAAGUCCAAUGUCUUUUUUAAUAGAAAUACCAAUGAAUAGGAUAGGCGGGAAGUGGUAAAUAUUUUGAAGGUGCGAAGUUCAAACAAUCCAAAGAGGUAUUUAGGCUACCCAAUGCAGUUGGAAGAAAGAAAAAAGAAUCGUUUCAGGAUCUAAAAGAUCGAAUUAAGAAACGUAUUGACAAAUGGAGCACUAGAUUUUUUUCUUAGGGCGUAAAUGAAGUAUUUAUCAAAUCUGUCCUUCAAUCUAUCCCAACUUAUACUAUGUCUUGUUUCUUAUUGCCCAAAUCUUUAUGUACAGAAUUGGAAAGCAUUAUUGCUCAAUUUUGGUGGCAAAAGAGGCAUGGCAGACGGGGAAUACAUAGGUGUGCAUAGAAAAUUCUUUGUCUAUUAAAAGAAAAUGGGGGUCUUGGUUUUCGAAAUAUGAGUCAGUUCAAUAUUGCAUUAUUAGCCAAGCAAGGGUGGCGCCUUAUUAAUUAUCUGAAUUCAUUAGUAGCUAGAGUACUCAAGGCUAAAUACUAUCCGCAUACGAAUUUUAAUAACGCUCAGUUAAGGAAUCUACCUUCCCUUACCUAGAAGAGCGUGUAGGCUACUAAGGGAUUGUUGAAGAAUGGACUGUGUUGGAGGGUUGGAAGGGAUGAUGGAAUCUCGAUCUGGGAGGGCCGUCAGAUUCCAAGAAUGAAACUUAAUGAGUGGAACAAUAGAAACGACAGCGAAGGGCCUCAGUUAGUCUCAGAAUUAAUUGACCCAAAUACCAGAACAUGGAAGACAAGUAUUGUUAGUAGUACCUUCCAAAAUGAGAUUGCUCAACAAAUUAUGUAGAUUCCUCUUGCGAAAAGUCCUCAUAACGACCUUUAAGUGUGGAAAGGAGAACCGUCUGGAGAAUUUACUGUCAAAAGUGCCUACAAACUAUUUCAAGAAGCUAUCUUGGAUCCUAGUUAUUAUUUUAUACAGGCCGACUCAAAGAAAUUCUACAAAAAAACUUUGGAAUCUAGGACUACCCUCAAAAAUACUGGUUACAAUAUGGAGAAUUACAUGGAACUAUAUUCCAACUAGGGAUUUAAAUAGCAGUCCGAUACGGCUAUAGCGACGCUAUAUAGCAGUAGCGGCGCCGUCCGAAACCGUUACUAUUGAAAAUAACAGUGUGAAGCGGAGUCCCACUGAUAGCGGUGGGUUGCGGCUACAAUUUAACGGGUAAUGGCCAGUUGCGGCAAUAACAGGCCGCUAUUCCCGUUAUUUUCCGUUGCAGUAAAUUAAAAAAAAUCCAUCUCCUCUAGACAAAAAUCAACAAAAACAGUGAAACACAAUAAAACAAAAGGGAAUAUAUUCUCCUGCCUGUAAAACCAGAGUGUUUUCAAUCAAAAAAAGAAAAAUGAAGACCAAAUAAAUAGAAAAAGCAAUCAAAAUUCAAAACUAAAAAUGAAAACCAAAUAAAUAGAAAAAGCAAUCAAAAUUCAAAACUCAAAAGCAAUAGAAAAUAUGAAAUUCUAUUUCUCAUAUUUCGGUCCCUAAACUCUAAACCAAACGGCAAACAAAGCAAACCCUGAUCACUUUCACAUUCAGAGAUUGAAAAUUUUCAAGUAAGUACCUAAAAUUUUGUCUUGAUUCUUGGCUUCUUGCUUGUUUUUGCAAUGCAAAUAUGUUCUUUAGAGUUUAGACUUUAGGUUAGGGAUGAAGGGAGAAGUUACAACCAGCAUAUUCCAAGAAUUUGAUAGAGUUUUGAGAGGAUAUGAGUUUUAAGAGGAUGAUAGACUUUAGGCCUCUUCAGUUUUUCUUUCUAAGUUUUCUGCCGUUUGAUUUCUUUUUUUCUUUAUUUUUUUCAUUUUUAUUUUCCUUUCCUCCUAGCCAAAACCAAGGCACUGUCUAG